rnacentral:misc_RNA from 1 species
UGGUCACUAAUUGACCAUUAAAACACUAAUUCACCCUUAAAACACAAAUCUCUCAAUUUAGUUCAAGAGCCCUAAUUCUCAAAUUUCAGUUUAUGCACAUACAUCAGUUAAACAUACUAAUUCACUAUCCAUUUUAUAUCAACACCUCAAACACCAUUUCUAACCCAUUUUGAAUCCAUGAAAACCAUCAAAACUACUACACCCAUAGGGCUGCUAAAUUCCAUCCAUUCCUCUACACAAAUGUUUUAUUCAAUUUCUCACAAUUUUCUUACUCAAUUUAAGUCCCCAACAUGAAAAGAAAGAGAGAGAGAGAUAGAAAAAUAAGCACUAACGUCUCUUGUGACCUACCUUAGACUUGCCCAACUUCAAAAUUUUCUCAAAUUUCUACUGCCUUAUGCUUCCUCAAGGUUUAGGGAUAAUUUUUUGUGAAUGAAGUUUAGGGUUUUGGGGUGGAAAGCUUAGGGAAAGUCAAACUUGAGCAAGAGCUUUCAUGGAGGUCUUUUGUUCUCUCUCUCUUUCUUGGUUCGGCUCAUAUGAAGAAGCUGCUGGUUUCUUUUGUUUCUUAUCUCAUUUUAAGUUCAUUUCUUAUCCCUUUUUAUCUCUUAUAAAUUGGCUUGUCAAAUUCUAAUUAGUGGGAAGCUUUUUAAUGAUGUCAUCCUAUGUCAUAAAUAUAAUUAAAUUCUAUUUUUUUUUCUUUUCUACUUAUUUUCAAUUCAAUUUUUAGCAAU